UACCCGCAGCACAAGUGGUGGUCAUUAUUAUUGGGCCUAAAGCGUCCGUAGCUGGCCUGUUAGAUGCCUGGGUAAAUCGAUGCGCUCAACGUAUCGAACUCCGGGUAGACCGGCAGGCUCGAGACCGGGAGAGGUGUAGGCUACUCGCGGGGUAGGGGUAAAAUCCUGUAAUCCUGCGGGGAGGACCAGUGGCGAAGGCGCUACACUAGAACGGCUCUGACAGUGAGGGACGAAGCCCCUGGGGCGCAAACCGG
rnacentral:rRNA from 1 species